GUUUGCGACGCCAAUGCCUUCAGUUGUCCACCCAACAAUUCAGCUGUCUCGACCGAGUCGCAUCUGAUCGAACGGAAAGUUUCGAUAACGGGACUCGUGCGUUGAAUGGUUUUCCAUAACAAAUCAUGUUUAUCUCGGAGAAACCGAAGGCUUUUGAUCUUUUGAAACUUAAUCCGUGAGAAUAUGAGAGAGUAGGUGGAUUCCUCGUCGUCAAGAUAUAAUGAAAAAUACGUUAACAGCUCGUUAUACGAAGAAGAAGGAUAAUUAAGUAAGAUGACGACCUAUAAUCCAUAAGAUCGAGCUGAUGAACGAAUCAACCUCCAUCUUUGGAGAACGAACCUUCUUCUUAUCCUUCAUAUUAAUAAUACUAAAAAAAAAAAAGUAAAAAGAAAAAAGCAGAAAAUGAAGAGAAACAAAAUUUAUUAUCACGAAGAUCAAAGAUUAAAAAAAAGAAAAUAAGAAAAAAAAAGAAAGGAAAAAAUGAAGAAUAGUUAUGAUAAUAAAUGAGAUGAAAGUGUGAUAACGAAGUCAUAGCCGAGUGAAGGCCGAGGAAAAGCUACAUAAUCAGAUACGUGAAAAAACAAUUAGUAUGAUAAAAGAAAAUAGAAAAAAAAUUAAAACCUGUAUGCAUGAACAUGGACUGGAUUGUUAGUGGCAGGAUUUGCUGAUCUAGUAGAAGCUCCAGGAUGAACAGUUUGAAUGAUCUUCAGGCCCUUGCUGCUCACCUGUCGACAAGAAUAAAAUCUUAAUCGAGAAACAUCGUUACCAGGCAUGUUAGAACGAUAAAAAUAACUUGUAAUCGAGAUGUCUAAUCAGUCGUUUGAUUGUAAUUACGAUAAAGAUAUAGCUCUGUGGUAUAUCAAUAGACAUGCCUACGUUCAAAUGUUAUUUUCUAGGAUGAAACAGGCGUCUCUCGUCAGAUGUUUGAUUAUUAUUAUAAUCAAAAUAUAAUCUAUACAGGAUGGCAUUUAAAUAAGAAUGAUUCAACAUCCAUCGACACAAAGCAUGGAUCAUCAAAUAAUUAUACUUAUCUCGGCUAGAGACAAAACAUGAAAAUCUCGUAAGACUAGUCUCUCUUACGUUUUGUUUCUUACGGUGACACGCGUGCCAUUGUUCACGAUAGCGGAAACGCGAACGACGUAGAUUCGUUUCUGAUCUAAGGAAAAAAGAAAAAGAGACAAGAAGAUAAGGAUAAAGCUGAGACUGGAUUAUUUUUAGUCGACAUUCUAUCCUAUCUUCAUUUCUAAUUUCAUCCCUCGUAUCAAUUUGAGAAUAUCUCGACUAUAAUUCGUUUUUGUUGAAAAAUAACAUGGUAAUUUCGAGGAGUAUCCGGUUUUUUAGGAUCAGCAGUCGUAAAAAAGGGAAUUUUAUGAUACCUCGUGUCUAACUUUCUCUGAGAAAAAAAAGAAAGAAAAAACAGAGGAUACAAACAUAAAAGGAAAUCGUAAAAAUAGAUGUAGAAACUUUAUAGGACUUAUGUCGUAUCGAUAAACAAAUGUCAUGUUUUAGAAUAUUUUCGGACGGUAGGCGCCAAAACCGGAUCUCGAAAUGGUAGCUCUCACCUGUAAAGUGACCUUGAAAGGUUCUUGAAGUCGUUCUCGUUCGAGCAGGUAAGCUAUGGCACCGGGCAUCGCGUCCACACCCUUGGCCUCCCUCG